AGCAGCCGCGGUAAUUCCAGCUCCAAUAGCGUAUAUUAAAGUUGUUGCAGUUAAAAAGCUCGUAGUUGAAUUUCGGGAUUGGCGCAUCGGUCGUGCCUCACGGGGUAUGAACUGGUGCAGUCAAUUUCUCACCUUCUGGAGAACCGCGAUGUCCUUAAUUGGAUGCCGCGGGGAACCAGGACCUUUACUUUGAAAAAUUAGAGUGUUUAAAGCAGGCAUUUUUGCUUGAAUACAUUAGCAUGGAAUAAUAAAAUAGGACGGCAUGGUUCUAUUUUGUUGGUUUCUAGGACCACCGUAAUGAUUAAUAGGGAUAGUUGGGGGCAUUAGUAUUCAAUUGUCAGAGGUGAAAUUCUUGGAUUUAUUGAAGACUAACUGCUGCGAAAGCAUUUGCCAAGGAUGUUUUCAUUAAUCAAGAACGAAAGUUAGGGGAUCGAAGACGAUCAGAUACCGUCGUAGUCUUAACCAUAAACUAUGCCGACUAGGAAUCAGACGAUGUUAAUUUUUAAUGACUCGUUUGGCU
rnacentral:misc_RNA from 1 species